rnacentral:rRNA from 1 species
GACGAACGCUGGCGGCGUGCUUAACACAUGCAAGUCGAACGGAAAGGCCCUGCUUUUGUGGGGUGUUCGAGGCGCGAAGGUGUGAGUAACACGUGAGUAACCCGCCCUUGACUUUGGGAUAACUUCAGGAAACUGGGGCUAAUACCGGAUAGGAGUCCCUGCCGCAUGGUGGGGGUGGGAAAGUUUCGGCGGUUGGGGAUGGACUCGCGGCUUAUCAGCUUGUUGGUGGGGUAGUGGCUUACCAAGGCUUUGACGGGUAGCCGGCCUGAGAGGGUGACCGGCCACAUUGGGACUGAGAUACGGCCCAGACUCCUACGGGAGGCAGCAGUGGGGAAUAUUGCACAAUGGGCGGAAGCCUGAUGCAGCAACGCCGCGUGCGGGAUGACGGCCUUCGGGUUGUAAACCGCUUUCGCCUGUGACGAAGCGUGAGUGACGGUAAUGGGUAAAGAAGCACCGGCUAACUACGUG